CACGAACGCUGGCGGCAGGCUUAACACAUGCAAGUCGAACGCCGUAGCAAUACGGAGUGGCAGACGGGUGAGUAACGCGUGGGAACGUGCCUUUUGGUUCGGGACAACUGAGGGAAACUUCAGCUAAUACCGGAUAAGCCCCGAGGGGGAAAGAUUUAUCGCCAAAAGAUCGGCCCGCGUCAGAUUAGGUAGUUGGUGGGGUAAUGGCCUACCAAGCCGAUGAUCUGUAGGUGGUCUGAGAGGAUGAUCACCCACACUGGGACUGAGACACGGCCCAGACUCCUACGGGAGGCAGCAGUGGGGAAUAUUGGACAUUGGGGGAAACCCUGAUCCAGCCAUGCCGCGUGGAUGAAGAAGGCCCUAGGGUUGUAAAGUCCUUUCGCCGCUGAAGAUAAUGACGGUAAGCGGAGAAGAAGCCCCGGCUAAUUUCGUGCCAGCCGCCGCAGUAACAC
rnacentral:rRNA from 1 species